rnacentral:rRNA from 2 species
AAACCGUUGAAAGGGAAGCGAAUGGAGUUAGCAAUUCGCCCUGCCAGAUUCAGCUGCUCGUGCUUCGCGACGUGCGCGCUCUCGAUCCGCAUGGACGAGACGUGUGUGGGUGCGAUGUGCAAACGGCGCACUUCUGGCGAGCGAGCGUCAGCGUCGGUUGUCGACGGGGGACAAGGACACAGGGAAGGUGGAUCAGCCAACUUGGCCGAUUGUUAAGCCUUGUGAUCACAUAGCCCGACGGCGACCGUGGCUCUGCGACGCGUGCCUGGCUGGCGACUCGAACGGAUCGGUCCGGCAUGUCGACUGGGCGGACGAGACUUCUCUGUGCGCUCAAACUGCUGCCGGUCGAACGGACGAUGUUCGCACACUACGCGUCGAGGAUGCUGACGACCAUACGGCUCCAUCCGACCCGUCUUGAAACACGGACCAAGGAGUCUAACAUGUGCGCGAGUCUCCGGGUGAUCGAAACCCGUGGGCGCAAUGAAAGUAAAGAUCGUCCUAGACGAUUGAGGUGAGAAGCAAAUCCACGGAUUUGCGGCAUCAUCGACCGACCUAUUCUGCUCUCAGAAAGGUUUGAGUAAGAGCGUACCUGUUGGGACCCGAAAGAUGGUGAACUAUGCCUGAAUAGGGUGAAGCCAGCGGAAACACUGG